rnacentral:rRNA from 1 species
GUACCGUGAGGGAAAGGUGAAAAGAACCCCGGGAGGGGAGUGAAACAGAACCUGAAACCGUACGCAAACAAACAGUGGGAGGGAGCGCUUGCGCUCCUGACCGCGUACCUUUUGCAUAAUGGGUCAGCGAGUUGCGCUUGCCGGCAAGGUUAACCGUAUAGGGAAGCCGCAGGGAAACCGAGUCUUAAUAGGGCGACACAGUCGACAGGCGCAGACCCGAAACCAGGUGAUCUAUCCAUGGACAGGUUGAAAGUUCGGUAACACGGGCUGGAGGACCGAACCCACUGAUGUUGCAAAAUCAGGGGAUGAUCUGUGGAUAGGGGUGAAAGGCCAAUCAAACCUGGAGAUAGCUGGUUCUCUCCGAAAACUAUUGAGGUAGUGCCUCGUGUUUAUCACUGCCGGGGGUAGAGCACUGUUAUGGCUAGGGGGUCACGCCGACUUACCAAACCAUGGCAAACUCCGAAUACCGGUAAGCGCAAUCACGGGAGACAGACAGCGGGUGCGAACGUCCGUUGUCAAGAGGGAAACAACCCAGACCGCCGUCUAAGGCCCCCAAGCCGUUGCUAAGUGGGAAACGAAGUGGGGGGGCACACACAGCCAGGAUGUUGGCUUAGAAGCAGCCAUCAUUUAAAGAAAGCGUAAUAGCUCACUGGUCUAGUCCCCCUGCGCGGAAAAUGUAACGGGGCUUAAGCAACGCGCCGAAGACGCGGGUGUCAGAAGGUUGAGUAAAGGGAAUUGCCCGCAAAGCCGGGCAGUUUUUACAAGGGCGGGGUUCUACCCGACUUCGCCCUGUUUGGUGGGAUUUGAGAAAUUCAGUGCCGAAUUCGGUAUAAUUUUCGACAUGAACAUCAACGCCAGCAAGGAGCUGCUUGCCACGCUUGCCUCCACCGUUGCCAUUAUCGCCUUUUUGGUGUCUUUGGCGACGCAAAUGGGCGAAAUGCGCGGCGCAAUAGAAGCCAACGGCAAGGCAAUUGCGGAGUUGCGCGACGAUGUGCGCGAUUUGCGCAACACGGUCGCCGCGAACACCGCGUCGGUCGCAGAAAUGCGCGGCACAUUGUUGUCGCACAUUGGCGGGCAUAACCAUGCGCCCGUUGUCGCCGAAGGCAAAGAGGAAGAGUGAUAUGCGCGCUUUUCCGUCAUGUGAAUUAAAGUUCCCUUUACUCAACCUUUUGACGCGGUAGGAGAGCGUUCCGUAAGCCAGUGAAGGCGGUUUGAAAGGGCCGCUGGAGGUAUCGGAAGUGAGAAUGCUGACAUGAGUAACGUUAAAACGGGUGAAAAACCCGUUCGCCGAAAGUCCCAGGUUUCCUGUGCAAUGUUAAUCAUCGCAGGGUUAGUCGAUUCCUAAGGCGAGGCCGAAAGGCGUAGUCGAUGGAAAACGGGUUAAUAUUCCCGUACCUUCGCAUGAUGCGAUGGGGUGACGGAGAGUGCUGCCUUGUCCGGGUGUUGGAAGUCCCGGUUCAAGCUGGUAGUUCAUUGAUGUUUCCAGGUAAAUCCGGAAACGGAGAAUGAGAAGCGACAACGACCGCUUUUUCGGAAGCGGGAAGCAAGUGACGCACGCUCCCAAGAAAAGCCUCUAAGCUUCAGUCAUGCGAGGAUCGUACCGCAAACCGACACUGGUGGACAGGAAGAAUAUUCCAAGGCGCUUGAGAGAACUCGGGUGAAGGAACUCGGCAAAAUGAUACCGUAACUUCGGGAGAAGGUAUGCCCCGACAAUGUGAAGUCCCUCGCGGACGGAGCAGUAAGGGGUCGAAGAGAAUUGGUGGCUGCGACUGUUUACUAAAAACACAGCACUCUGCAAACACGAAAGUGGAAGUAUAGGGUGUGACGCCUGCCCAAUGCCGGAAGGUUAAUUGACGGGGUUAGCCCUUAUGGGCGAAGCUCCUGAUCGAAGCCCCGGUCAAUGGCGGCCGUAACUAUAACGGUCCUAAGGUACCGAAAUUCCUUGUCGGGUAAGUUCCGACCUGCAGGAAUGGCGCAACGAUGGCCACACUGUCUCCACCCGAGACUCAGUGAAAUUGAAAUGAGUGUGCUGAUGCACCCUACCCGCUGUUAGACGGAAAGACCCCGUGCACCUUUACUGCAGCUUUGCAUUGAGUUUUGAAUAGGUUUGUGUAGGAUAGGUGGGAGGCGAUGAAGCCGAGGCGCCAGCUUCGGUGGAGCCAUCCUUGAAAUACCACCCUGAUUUAUUUGGAACCCUAACCUAGCCCCGUUAUCCGGGGCGGGGACCAUGCAUGGCGGGCAGUUUGACUGGGGCGGUCUCCUCCCAAAGAGUAACGGAGGAGCGCAAAGGUAUGCUUCGCUCGGUCGGAAAUCGAGCUGGACGUGCAAUGACAAAAGCAUGCUUGACUGCAAGAGUGACGGCUCAAGCAGGUGCGAAAGCAGGUCAUAGUGAUCCGGUGGCGCUUUAUGGAAGGGCCAUCGCUCAACGGAUAAAAGGUACGCCGGGGAUAACAGGCUAAUUCCUCCCAAGAGUCCACAUCGACGGAGGAGUUUGGCACCUCGAUGUCGGCUCAUCACAUCCUGGGGCUGUAGCAGGUCCCAAGGGUAUGGCUGUUCGCCAUUUAAAGUGGUACGUGAGCUGGGUUUAGAACGUCGUGAGACAGUUCGGUCCCUAUCUGCAGUGGGCGCUGGAAAUUUGAAGGGAUCUGCUCCUAGUACGAGAGGACCGGAGUGGACGAACCUCUGGUGUACCGGUUGUCGCGCCAGCGGCAUUGCCGGGUGGCUAUGUUCGGAAUGGAUAACCGCUGAAAGCAUCUAAGUGGGAAGCCAACCCUGAGACGAGAUUUCCCGAGGGCUUGACCCUCCUGAAGACCCCUUGAAGACGACGAGGUUGAUAGGUCGGAUGUGGAAGUGCGGCAACGCAUUAAGCUAACCGAUACUAAUUGGUCGUGCGGCUUGGUUCC